GGAUUAUAAUUUUUGUAUUUGCGAGUGUUUAAAUCUUAGAUUAAUUAGAGGAAUAGCUGACCCUUCCAAACAUAUAAGUUCACCCCAAGUUUUUGAUGGAGCUCAUUUUGCUCAAACCUUAAUUUAUUUGUAAUGUUUUUGCUGUUUGCACUUUAGUUGUUUUUCUUUUUGACCAUGGUGUUGUCUGUUUUUAUUGUGAUCAAAUAUGCUAAAGCAACAAGAAAAAUAUUUAAAACAUGAAAAUAUUAAACAGCAGAGACAAAUAUAUAGUGCCCUUUAGAUAUCUUCCUUCUGUUAAAGGCAAAAAUCCUACAAAAUUCAUUCAUAAACAUUAAAACAUUUGAGCUACAUAGAAUAGAAAUGAACCUUAUGCAAGUUUACG
rnacentral:lncRNA from 1 species